rnacentral:rRNA from 1 species
AUUGAACGCUGGCGGCAUGCUUUACACAUGCAAGUCGAACGGCAGCGCGGGCUUCGGCCUGGCGGCGAGUGGCGAACGGGUGAGUAAUGCAUCGGAACGUGCCCAGUAGUGGGGGAUAGCCCGGCGAAAGCCGGAUUAAUACCGCAUACGACCUGAGGGUGAAAGCGGGGGACCGAAAGGCCUCGCGCUAUUGGAGCGGCCGAUGUCGGAUUAGCUAGUUGGUGGGGUAAAGGCUUACCAAGGCGACGAUCCGUAGCUGGUCUGAGAGGACGACCAGCCACACUGGGACUGAGACACGGCCCAGGCGCCGACGGGAGGCAGCAGUGGGGAAUUGUGGACAAUGGGGGCAACCCUGAUCCAGCCAUGCCGCGUGCGGGAAGAAGGCCUUCGGGUUGGAAACCGCUUUUGUUCGGGAAGAAAUCCUCUGGGCGAAUACCCCGGGGGGAGGACGGUACCGGAAGAAGAAGCACCGGCUAACUACGU